UACGUAGGGUGCGAGCGUUAAUCGGAAUUACUGGGCGUAAAGCGUGCGCAGGCGGUUUUGGAAGCGAGAUGUGAAAUCCCCGGGCUUAACCUGGGAAUGGCAUUUGGGACUGCAAGGCUUGAGUGCGGCAGAGGAGACUGGAAUUCCUGGUGUAGCAGUGAAAUGCGUAGAUAUCAGGAGGAACACCGGUGGCGAAGGCGGGUCUCUGGGCCGAUACUGACGCUGAGGAGCGAAAGCGUGGGGAGCGAACAGG
rnacentral:rRNA from 1 species